UCAAACUUGGUCAUUUAGAGGAAGUAAAAGUCGUAACAAGGUCUCCGUUGGUGAACCAGCGGAGGGAUCAUUACCGAAGUUACUCUUCAUACCCUUUUGUGAACCUUACCCCUCGCCGCGCGGUUGCCUCGGCGUGGAGGUCGGGAGUGGGGCCGCCCAGCGCGGACCCCGCCUCCGGCCCCCGCCGGCCGCGCCAAACUCUUAAUUUGCAUAGCGGACUGUAUGUUCUGAUUUAUCUUGAAAAAACAAGUCAAAACUUUCAACAACGGAUCUCUUGGUUCUGGCAUCGAUGAAGAACGCAGC
rnacentral:misc_RNA from 1 species